rnacentral:lncRNA from 1 species
AGUGGCUCACGCCUGUAAUCCCAGCAGUGGGAGGCUGAGCCCGUGCACCACCAGCGGGUCCAGCUACAAACCCAGUUGCCAAUACAGCCUAAGGACGAGCCUGCCCACAACUAUUCCAGUUCCAUUUGGCACAGCCAGGGGCAGGGACAGAAGGGCCCUGCAGGACUCCGCCUCCCCACCUCUGCACAGAUCCUCUCUCCUUUCCCCUAAUACUCCCAUCAUCCUCCUUUUAGCUUCUUAGAGGAAUCAGCAGCUCAGCUUAGCUUAGAUUUAGCUGAUCAAUCCCAAAGAAGGAUGUGGCUCAUCCUCUUGGCCAUCCCUGGAGUCGCAGCACACGCUUGGCUGGUGUGGGUCCACAGAGGUUCUCAUGGGUGGGCCCAGCAGAGGGGCCCCUCAGGAGAGGGAUUCUAGGGAGCUAGACUGAGACAAGCCUGGCCCUGACUGUCGCCUCCUGCCUUCUGGUCCUGGCCAUUCCUGCCCCUUUCUCUCUCCAGAGCUUGGGAGGAGUCAGAACAUUGCUCUAGCCGCUGGUGAUCUCUCCUGGUUGCCAACCCUCCUGGCCAUGACUGAUCUCCCCACUGAGAUGCUCAGGUUUGAAAGCCAAGCUGCCCAGGGAAGGGACUUCUCAAAGGUCGCGAGUCCAGUGAGUGGCAGAAGGGGGAUGUAAAGCCCAGCCCCUCUGAUGGAGUGUCCAGCGCUCGUCCCGUGCCCUCCACGCCCCUGUGUACCCAGCUACUUGUUUAUUCAUUUGGUUUAUACGUUUGGUCGUUCAUUCAUUUGGUCAGUGCACAUUCUUUUAUGGCCACACACCUGCUAGGGCAGUG